GUGUUAGAAAGUGGUGAAAAUUCUAAAAAGGCUAUCAUUAUCCCUAUGGGCCAGGAAAUACUACCGUGCCACCUUAAGGGGGAUAUAUAUUUUUACACUAAAUCAAUGAAGGAACUUUUUUUACCUAUGCAAUUUGUAAGUUUAUCAAUAAAAAGUUGAUUAAGGGCAACUAUGAUAAAAACAAGCCUUAAAUUCCACCCCUGAGAGUAAAAAUUGCUGAUUCAGCAAAUUUUGCCUGAUCUGUAGGUAAUAAUGUAAAAAUUUUCAUAGAAAGUAGAACUUCAUUAUUUUUAUGUAACUUGCAAUACAUUUUUAAUUAUAAAUGCUCGCUUUAACUUUUCGCAGUGUCUGACACAUGUGCAACCACUGAAAUUUGAGACGCG
rnacentral:lncRNA from 1 species